CCUAACUACAGUAACUGCACUGAGUGCAAGAAGAGUGUGUGCAACCUGUGUGGCUUCAACCCCACACCUCAUCUUGGUGAGAAAGAAUGGUUAUGUCUCAACUGCCAGACCCAAAGAGCUCUCUCUGGCCAGCUGGGCGAUAUGCCCCCUCCACCAUCUCCUGUGAAGAAGCAACUACCCACACCUACCCCUACCCCUCCUGCCUCCCCUGCCAAAGUCCCUGACUCCCCAGCUGCUGCUGCCUCUCCAUUAACGGGAAGCCCCUCAGUCACUCAGGUAGAGGCAGCAGCAGCAAAGGAAGACACCCAGCCGCUUCCCAUGUCCAAGGCAACGCUGAAAGACCCUGGAGAAAAAA